CUGUGUAGCGCGCGCACGACAGAGAGGGAGAGGGACCUAGAGCAGUGCGAGUGUGUGCCUCAUGAAGCAUCCUGAUUGGCCUGUUUCGGUAAGUCAACCAAUCAAUUUUCAGUGUGGGCGGGCUUUUAUCUCUUCUCCCGAACCGAAUGAAUUAGUUCAGUGUAUCUAGGAACAGGAGCACCAUGGCAGAGGGAGAGUACCCCAAAAAACGAAAAUAUAAGACACAUUUUACAACAGACUAUACAAAAGUGUACCCCUGUCUUAGAAAAGUAAAUCACAAUGACAGUCUUGCUCGCUGUACAAUCUGUAACAGUGAUUUCAGCAUUGCUCAUGGCAGGUUAAAUGACUGUAAAAGACAUGUUGAGGUUGGGAUGUCUGUAUAUGUCUAUGGCCGGCACUACAAAGCCACCCCGGCCUCCGUAGUUUCGGGUCCUUUCACCCAGAAACCAGGAAGUCCUGCAGUAAACAAACAGUGAAGCAACGGAAAAUGCAGCUCUCAUUACAUGACCAAAGAUAAGUAAAUAAAAGCUCCAAAAUUGC